GAGACACAGCGAGAGAGGGAACACAAGCAGGGGGAGUGGGAGAGGGAGAAGCAAGCUUCCCGCGGAGCAGGGAGCCCGAUGCGGGGCUCGAUCCCAGAACCCUGGGAUCAUGACCUGCGCCGAAGGCAGACGCUUAACGACUGAGCCACCCAGAGGAAACUGGACUCUGCAAGAUGAAUGACUAGUUCUGAACACCCAACAAGCAAAUGGUGCCAUUAAUGAGAGGCAUACUUCUCUUGGAAGAAUUUCCAACAUGAAAAUAUUGGAACGUCUCUUCACCUGAACAUUAGGAGUUCAUUAGGAAUUUCUCCACACUGACAUUAAUUAUCAAGCUGUCAACUGUCAAUAUGGAAAUAAAGAGAUGAAGACAAGGGUUUUGGAGCCAGCCUGAUUUGGUUUUGAGUCCUGGAUCUGGCAUUUGUGCCAGCUGAGUGACCUUGAAAAAUUAUUUCUUUGAGUGUUAGUACAUCUACUUUAUAUGAAGAAAAUUAUCUACCGCAGGGGGUUGUAGGUCUUAGCUACAGUAGAUAAAGCAUUUAGCAUUAUUCCAGGUACGAGGUAAGUGCUUGAUAAAUGUAAGCCAUAGGAUUAUUUUGAUUAGUUCGAGGGUUCUUCAUUCCAAUUCUUAGUUCCCUUUAAGGUAAGAAGGAAUUUUUAUGCAUAGCUAUGUAAAAAGUGGGAAAUUAAAUAGCCUCAUUAAAAUUUCAAACUCAACACGAAGGAGACAAACUGUUAUGUGAAUCUGGAAACAGUAACUGGUGUGGGCUUUUGGAUCAUUGCUCUUGUUUUCUAUGUACCUAUUGGGUCGUUUCCUAAGGAUAGGUGUAGUGAGAAGAUGCAAGGUUUUGAAAUGAGACUACAUUCUAGCACUGAUUGCCCAAAAUAACCAACUUACAAAUGCCCAUUGUAAGACAUGGGAAUUCUUUCAUUUGAAUUGCUUAGAAAAACAAUCUUGUAGAGAAUUGAAAAUGGUCUGUGCUUGGCCUCUACCCAAAGGCAAAUUAUUUUAGUAUGAAAGUCUAAGAAAAUAAUUUAACCACAAGCUAUGUGAGUAGGAAAGGAAAAAUAACCAAAGGAUAAAGAAAAAUACACUCUGGCUCUAUCAUAUAUAAAAUUUCUUUUUUGGGUGCUAAACUGCAACACAGAUGUGAAACUUGAUCUACAAGUAGGGUCCAAACAACAGAAAGAAAAUAAAUAAUCCAAGACCUAAAAAAUAUUCUGAGAUGACAUUAAACUUCAGUGAAAGACUAAGUAUGGGCAUAACCAAAGCUUGUUAUUCAACACCACUGGUCCUAGACUUCAGGCUAGGACCUGAAUUCAAAUCCACUUACAAGAGGUAGGGUCAUAAAUAACCUAACUAGCUUCAGGUUCCUCACUCUAGAAAUUGUGAUAAGAAUAUCUACAUCACAAGAUUCUUUAUGAAACAAUAUAAGGGGUGAGAUAGCGUGAAAAAUGCUUUGCACAGAGCUUACAUAUAAGAGACAAAGAAUAAAUAUUAGCCAGAUCUAAAUUUGAACAUACACAACACUGACCUGAUCACAUUUUUGACCUUGUUUCUAAUGUGAAGGAAUCUGCAACCUUGUUGGUGAAAAAACUAUUUAUAUGAAAAAUUAUAGAAUACUGAAACUGCAUAAUAGAGUGUUAAAUUGAGUGUUAAAAAUAUGGUACCAACUAAUGUCAGCUUUCUUUUAGUUGCCAAAUUUGACCUUACUUUUCAACAUGGUAUCUUUGGGAAGUGGAGAGAAGUUAAGAGCUUGGAUCAAAUACUGUACAUUAAUUAGGGCAGCAAAUGUAUCCCUUUGGUGUAAGCCUGAUUGGCUGACUAAUACUCUACCAACUUUGAGAUUCACAAUAAUUCAUAACAGCAUAUCCAGGGAAUGAGCUCUUUCAUUUAAGUAAAUUUUCCAGUAUAAUUAAUUACGCCUUCUUAAAUGCUAAAACUUCAAUAUCUCUGAACAAAAUUAAAAUUAUUUACAUUAUCCGUUUCACACUCCAGACUACAAGCACAUAUCUUCCUUUAAAUCUCUAGCAGUAAGCACAGUGCCCAGCACCUACUAGGCGUUCACUAAACGUCCUACUGAACUGCAGUGUAUGAUACAUAUUCUUAUCUUCUUAAGUAGUGUUUGAUGAAUAUGAGUCAACCUUAUCUUUACAACUCCAAUCAUUAUUCUCAAUGCAAUAAAUGCAUAACAUUUCAUGUGAGUGAAGUCCUCUGGGGCUAUUUGCCUUCAUAAAAUGGUCUCAGACAUGUGAUCUAAUUUUUCCAGCUUAUUUUUAAGUUUUCCAUCUCCUCUCUUGGUAUCAAGGGGUCAGUGAUCACUGCUAGCUCAUCUCACAUUGCCACCUUUUAGGAUCUUCCCUUUUCUAAAAUGUUGUAAGCUGGGAAACCAGAGAGCUUGUUUGUCGAGAUGCUAUCAAAACUAAGGGCCAACAGGGCUCUAUGCAAGGGACUCUAGGGCCGCCCUCAGAAUAAAUCAUGUGUUGUGUUGUAUGGACUCUUUGGUUGCUUGGAGACUUAGCUUGCAUUUAUUCAUUAAAAAAAAAAUGUAUUUAGUGUCUUUUUCUGUGCCAGUCACUCUUUUAGGUGCAACA